CUGAUUACCAGUUAUUCGAUUUGUAUAAAACAGUCUGUCAAUUUUUUUGCACACAUUAGGAUCACAAUCAGUUCCAGUUAACACCAUGAAGACUACUUUAGUAUUCACUUUGCUGCUCGUGCUGGUGGCGUGCGCUAUGGGCGCGUCGCUCGCGGAGCGCGGCUGCUACUGUAUCGAUGUCUACAAUCCCGUUUGUGGAGCUGAUGGCAAAAUCUACGGGAAUAGCUGCUACAUGGCCUGCGCAAACGUAGAGGCUGGUUAUCAAUGCUUCUAAAACAUUCAUCCGAACAUCAUUCAAGACGGCGUUUUACCGAUUUCAAUAUUUUUUACUGAAAAUAAAUAAAACUUUUGAAAUAUA